AAAAGCUCGUAGUUGGAUUUCUGUUGAGGACGGCCGGUCUGCACUUUGUGCAUGUAUCUGGUUCGGCCUUGGCAUCCUCUUGGGGAACGUAGCUGCGCUUUAUUGCGUGGGACGGUAUUCAAGACUUUUACUUUGAGGAAAUUAGAGUGUUCACGGCAGGCUAACGCCUUGAAUAUAUUAGCAUGGAAUAAUAAUAUAGGAUCUUGGGUCUAUUUUGUUGGUUUCUAGAACUAGGAUAAUGAUUAAUGGGGAUAAUUGGGGGCAUUCGUAUUAACGCGUCAGAGGUGGAAUUCUUGGAUUGCGUUACGACGAACUACUGCGAAAGCAUUUGCCAAGGAUGUUUUCAUUGAUCAAGAACGAAAGUCAGGGGAUCGAAGAUGAUUAGAUACCGUCGUAGUCUUGACCAUAAACUAUGCCGACUAAAAAUUGGUGGUCGUUUUUUAUCGACUCCAUCAGCGUUUUAUGAGAAAUCAAAGUCUUUGGGUUCCGGGGGGAGUAUGGUCGCAAGGCUGAAACUUAAAGGAAUUGACGGAAGGGCACCACCAGGAGUGGAGCCUGCGGCUUAAUUUGACUCAACACGGGAAAACUUACCAGGUCCAGACAUAGGUAGGAUUGACAGAUU
rnacentral:rRNA from 1 species